UAGGGAAUUUUCGUUCAAUGGGCGCAAGCCUGAACGAGCAAUGCCGCGUGAACGAGGAAGGUCUUCGGAUCGUAAAGUUCUGUUGAAGGGGAAAAGGAGCGGAGAGAGGAAAUGGUCUCCGAUUGAUAUUACCCUUCGAGGAAGUCACGGCUAACUACGUGCC
rnacentral:rRNA from 1 species